CCUACGGGAGGCAGCAGUGGGGAAUAUUGGGCAAUGGGCGCAAGCCUUACCCAGCAAUGCCGCGUGAGUGAAGAAGGUCUUCGGAUUGUAAAGCCCUUUUGUCAGGGACGAACAGAUGACGGUACCUGAAGAACAAGCCCCGGCUAACUACGUGCCAGCAGCCGCGGGAAAACGUAGGGGGCGAGCGUUGUCCGGAAUGACUGGGCGUAAAGGGUGCGUAGGGGGCAUAAUAAGUUAGAAGGGAAAUACCCAGGGCUUAACCCGGGUGCUGCUUCUAAGACUGUUGUGCUUGAGUGCGGGAGAGGUUAAUGGAAUUCCUGGUGUAGCGGUGGAAUGCGUAGAGAUUAGGAGGAACACUAGAGGCGAAGGCGACUAACUGGACCGUAACUGACGCUGAGGCACGAAAGUGUGGGGAGCAAACAGGAUUAGAUACCCGUGUAGUC
rnacentral:rRNA from 1 species